UAUACAUGACUCUGCGCAUAUCAAUAAGCGGAGGAAAAGAAACUAACAAGGAUUCCCCUAGUAACGGCGAGUGAAGCGGGAAGAGCUCAAAUUUGAAAUCUUAAAGGGUUUCCCUUUACGAAUUGUAGUUUAAAGAAGUGUUUUCUGUUGAGGUUUUGGUAAAAGUUCUUUGGAAUAGGACAUCAUAGAGGGUGAGAAUCCCGUAUUUGACCUUUACUUUCAACUUUGUGAUACACUUUCAAAGAGUCGGAUUGUUUGGGAAUGCAGUCCAAAAUGGGUGGUAAAUUUCAUCUAAAGCUAAAUAUUGGCGAGAGACCGAUAGCGAACAAGUACCGUGAGGGAAAGAUGAAAAGAACUUUGAAAAGAGAGUUAAACAGUACGUGAAAUUGUCAAAAGGGAAGCGUUUGACACCAGUGUUGUUUUUCUGAAAAUCAAUUAAAGAACUGUUUAUGCUAAGCUGUUUAGACUUUAUCAGCUAAUCUGUUUAGUUUUGAGCUUUUCUUUAAUGCACUUUUCAGUUAACAAGUCAACAUCAAUUUCUUUUGCUGUAAGAAAGCUUGAGGAAGGUGGCUUGAGAUUCGUCUUAAGUGUUUAUAGCCUCUUGCCUAUGCAGUCGGAGAGAUUGAGGUCUGCAGCGUAGAUCCUUCGGGGCUAAAUGCAUUUGUGCUAAGUUAUAGCAUUUUAUAGACAACUUGUUGACUAUGAUUUGUCUUGUAGCUUACUCGCUUAUGUUAUUUUACCUACGCUUAGGAUGUUGAUCUACAGAGCGAGAGU
rnacentral:rRNA from 1 species